rnacentral:rRNA from 1 species
UAGCAUAAUAAAUUGUUUCUUAAUUGGGGACUAGAAUGAAGGGUCCCACGGCUUAUAAAUUUAUUUAUUUUAGUAAAAUAAAUUUUACUAUAAGUAAGAAUACUUAUAUCUUAUAAAGGGACGAUAAGACCCUAGAAGCUUUAAUUUUUAAAAAUAUAUAAUAGUUUUAUUUAUUCUUUGUAUUUAUAAUAAUUUUAAUUGGGGAAAUAGAAAUUUUUAUAAUAUUUUUACAACAGUAGUUAAUCUUUUUAUAAGAAAACUAGUAUUAGUUACUCUAGGGAUAACAGCGCAAUAAUUUUGGGUAGGCCUUAUACAUAAUAUUGAUUGCGACCUCGAUGUUGAAUUAAAAUAUCCCUGUAGAGUAGAAACUAUAGCGGAGG